rnacentral:rRNA from 1 species
AUACGGAGGGUGCAAACGUUGUUCGGAAUCACUGGGCGUAAAGGGCGCGCAGGCGGUUUGAUUAGUCAGAUGUGAAAGCCCACGGCUUAACCGUGGAAGUGCAUUUGAAACUGUCAGACUUGAGUACUAGAGGGGAAAGUGGAAUUCCCGGUGUAGAGGUGAAAUGCGUAGAUAUCGGGAGGAAUACCGGUGGCGAAGGCGACUUUCUGGCUAGAUACUGACGCUGAGGCGCGAAAGCGUGGGGAGCAAACAGGAUUAGAUACCCCAGUAGUCC